CCUUCUCUCUCCUCCAUUGCUCUCCUCAAGUGUCAUUUUCUCAAAUAUACUUCACACAAGAAACAACCAUUCAUCACUUCAUAUCUAUUCUCAUUUCUUCUCUCUCUCUCUCUCUUCUUUCUCUCUCUAAACUUCAUCAAAAUCCCAAAGAAAAGAGGAAAAAGAAGAAGAACCCAUAAAUCUCCUCUCAAUUCCCUUCAAAACCCAUAUUCACACUUCUCCAACAAAUCUCUAAAUCUCGAGAAAAAUACGAAUCAAGAACGACGACGAAGAAGAGAAGGAGAAGAAGCAAGACCAAAACUUUAUGCGUAUGGAGCUAUUCCCAGCACAGCCAGAUUUAUCCCUCCAAAUUAGCCCUCCAAAUACCAAUAAACCUUCUUCUUCUUGGAUAACAACACCUCAAGAAGAAGUUGAUUUGAGGUUUUGGAAUAAUCUUAGUUUGGAGUCCACUAAAUCCACUCCCAAACACCCCCCUCCACCUUCGCCUCCUAAUCAUCAUCUUCAUCAUCAUCAUAUAUCCGCUCCCCUUUUCGAAACCCUAAACAAAACCAGACCCCGACCCGCCAUUUUCCACCACGAUACGACGUCGCUGCUCAGCCCGUCACCACCACCGCCUCCCCCUCUCCCGUUUCCGGGAUUCUUGCAACCCAUUAGAGGAAUUCCGGUGUACCAUCAAACAAUUAACCCCUCCGGCAUCGGUGUCGAUGGUGGCCGAGGCAUUACUCCCUCUACCGUCGACCACCGCCAGAUUAUGAUGCGGUCGAGGUUCUUGUCUAGGUUUCCGGCCAAACGAAGCAUGAGAGCCCCUCGGAUGAGAUGGACAUCAACUCUUCAUGCUCGCUUUGUUCAUGCUGUCGAACUUCUCGGCGGCCACGAAAGAGCUACACCGAAGUCGGUUCUCGAGCUUAUGGAUGUCAAAGAUCUAACCUUAGCCCAUGUCAAAUCUCAUUUACAGAUGUACAGAACAGUGAAGACUACAGACAGAGCUGCAGCUUCUUCAGGCCAAUCAGAUUUAUAUGAAAAUGCUUCAUCUGGGGACACAAGCAAUAUUGAAGAUAUAAUAUUUGAUAUUCAAAAGCCAGCCAUGGGAAGGCAAAAUGAGAGCUUAGUUCAUCAAACAACAAGGCAAGACAAGGAUUAUCAUGCCCUUUGGAGCAAUUCUUCAAGGGAAGCUUGGUUGCAUGGUUUGCCAAACGAUUCUUCUCGGGACCUUUCUUCGUCCCUCGAGAAUGAUACGGAUCCGAAGUGCUCAAACAACGAGAGACUAUCGGAAAUAAGCUCAUCUACCGAUGAUUGUGGAGGGACAAACUCUCAUAAGCCAAAUUUAGAAUUCACAUUAGGAAGGUCAAUUUGAUGAACACAAACAAAGAGAUUGAAAAAAAGUUUUGAAAGAUGGAGUGCGGCCUGUAGAGCACAUGUAAGGCACAGUCGGGUUGAUCACGCAGCGGAUCUCUAUCUCUCUCUAGAUAUCUAAAGAUGGAGAGAGAUGUGAAAGGACGCUUCUGGUUCUGUUCUAAGGAUUCCCGAGGAGAAAAAUAGAGAUGUCUCCUACGUUACCCGUAAUAUGUGGAAGUAUCGACGUAAUUUCAUAGAGUCAUUCGGUCUGAAUGCUACAUGAAGAACAUAAGCCAGAUGAAGAAAGACAAUAAGAGCCGACCAAGGAGGAAAACGAAAGGCAUUUCUGGUCUCCUAAGCCAGAUGGUACUCGUGUGGAGGUGUGUCAUGACGAAACAAGGGAAUGAAAGCGUGACCGAGCCCUACGCCUAGCAUAUCGUUGAACGUGAGUUAGAAAUCUAGCUUUUGAAGAUAGUUGAUCGCUCCAGUAUUCUCUUGCAUCCUCUGCGUACCUAACGUCUCCGACAUUUUCUUGCAUCCCUGCAACUUGGUUAGGUUACCCUGAGCGCUUUUCAGUAUGUUUUGUCCACUCUUACAUGUAUCAUAGAAAUAUUCUCAAGAGAUCACCCAUCAUAGAAUUGUUUCAAAGAAAGUCAGAUUAACUCUGUAGUUUCUAUGAUUGAACCAUCGAAUAGGAAG